rnacentral:sRNA from 1 species
GAUGAGUAUGCAGAAACGGACCAUGACUCUAGUUGC